rnacentral:rRNA from 1 species
AGCGUACACGGUGGAUGCCCUGGCAGUCAGAGGCGAUGAAGGACGUGCUAAUCUGCGAUAAGCGUCGGUAAGGUGAUAUGAACCGUUAUAACCGGCGAUUUCCGAAUGGGGAAACCCAGUGUGUUUCGACACACUAUACAUUAACUGAAUCCAUAGGUUAAUGAGGCGAACCGGGGGAACUGAAACAUCUAAGUACCCCGAGGAAAAGAAAUCAACCGAGAUUCCCCCAGUAGCGGCGAGCGAACGGGGAGCAGCCCAGAGCCUGAAUCAGUGUGUGUGUUAGUGGAAGCGUCUGGAAAGGCGCGCGAUACAGGGUGACAGCCCCGUACACAAAAAUGCACAUGCUGUGAGCUCGAUGAGUAGGGCGGGACACGUGGUAUCCUGUCUGAAUAUGGGGGGACCAUCCUCCAAGGCUAAAUACUCCUGACUGACCGAUAGUGAACCAGUACCGUGAGGGAAAGGCGAAAAGAACCCCGGCGAGGGGAGUGAAAAGAACCUGAAACCGUGUACGUACAAGCAGUGGGAGCACGCUUAGGCGUGUGACUGCGUACCUUUUGUAUAAUGGGUCAGCGACUUAUAUUCUGUAGCAAGGUUAACCGAAUAGGGGAGCCGAAGGGAAACCGAGUCUUAACUGGGCGUUAAGUUGCAGGGUAUAGACCCGAAACCCGGUGAUCUAGCCAUGGGCAGGUUGAAGGUUGGGUAACACUAACUGGAGGACCGAACCGACUAAUGUUGAAAAAUUAGCGGAUGACUUGUGGCUGGGGGUGAAAGGCCAAUCAAACCGGGAGAUAGCUGGUUCUCCCCGAAAGCUAUUUAGGUAGCGCCUCGUGAAUUCAUCUCCGGGGGUAGAGCACUGUUUCGGCAAGGGGGUCAUCCCGACUUACCAACCCGAUGCAACCUACGAAUACCGGAGAACGUUAUCACGGGAGACACACGGCGGGUGCUAACGUCCGUCGUGAAGAGGGAAACAACCCAGACCGCCAGCUAAGGUCCCAAAGUCAUGGUUAAGUGGGAAACGAUGUGGGAAGGCCCAGACAGCCAGGAUGUUGGCUUAGAAGCAGCCAUCAUUUAAAGAAAGCGUAAUAGCUCACUGGUCGAGUCGGCCUGCGCGGAAGAUGUAACGGGGCUAAACCAUGCACCGAAGCUGCGGCAGCGACGCUGAUGCGUUGUUGGGUAGGGGAGCGUUCUGUAAGCCUGCGAAGGUGUGCUGUGAGGCAUGCUGGAGGUAUCAGAAGUGCGAAUGCUGACAUAAGUAACGAUAAAGCGGGUGAAAAGCCCGCUCGCCGGAAGACCAAGGGUUCCUGUCCAACGUUAAUCGGGGCAGGGUGAGUCGACCCCUAAGGCGAGGCCGAAAGGCGUAGUCGAUGGGAAACAGGUUAAUAUUCCUGUACUUGGUGUUACUGCGAAGGGGGGACGGAGAAGGCUAUGUUGGCCGGGCGACGGUUGUCCCGGUUUAAGCGUGUAGGCUGGUUUUCCAGGCAAAUCCGGAAAAUCAAGGCUGAGGCGUGAUGACGAGGCACUACGGUGCUGAAGCAACAAAUGCCCUGCUUCCAGGAAAAGCCUCUAAGCAUCAGGUAACAUCAAAUCGUACCCCAAACCGACACAGGUGGUCAGGUAGAGAAUACCAAGGCGCUUGAGAGAACUCGGGUGAAGGAACUAGGCAAAAUGGUGCCGUAACUUCGGGAGAAGGCACGCUGAUAUGUAGGUGAAGUCCCUCGCGGAUGGAGCUGAAAUCAGUCGAAGAUACCAGCUGGCUGCAACUGUUUAUUAAAAACACAGCACUGUGCAAACACGAAAGUGGACGUAUACGGUGUGACGCCUGCCCGGUGCCGGAAGGUUAAUUGAUGGGGUCAGCGCAAGCGAAGCUCUUGAUCGAAGCCCCGGUAAACGGCGGCCGUAACUAUAACGGUCCUAAGGUAGCGAAAUUCCUUGUCGGGUAAGUUCCGACCUGCACGAAUGGCGUAAUGAUGGCCAGGCUGUCUCCACCCGAGACUCAGUGAAAUUGAACUCGCUGUGAAGAUGCAGUGUACCCGCGGCAAGACGGAAAGACCCCGUGAACCUUUACUAUAGCUUGACACUGAACAUUGAGCCUUGAUGUGUAGGAUAGGUGGGAGGCUUUGAAGUGUGGACGCCAGUCUGCAUGGAGCCGACCUUGAAAUACCACCCUUUAAUGUUUGAUGUUCUAACGUUGACCCGUAAUCCGGGUUGCGGACAGUGUCUGGUGGGUAGUUUGACUGGGGCGGUCUCCUCCUAAAGAGUAACGGAGGAGCACGAAGGUUGGCUAAUCCUGGUCGGACAUCAGGAGGUUAGUGCAAUGGCAUAAGCCAGCUUGACUGCGAGCGUGACGGCGCGAGCAGGUGCGAAAGCAGGUCAUAGUGAUCCGGUGGUUCUGAAUGGAAGGGCCAUCGCUCAACGGAUAAAAGGUACUCCGGGGAUAACAGGCUGAUACCGCCCAAGAGUUCAUAUCGACGGCGGUGUUUGGCACCUCGAUGUCGGCUCAUCACAUCCUGGGGCUGAAGUAGGUCCCAAGGGUAUGGCUGUUCGCCAUUUAAAGUGGUACGCGAGCUGGGUUUAGAACGUCGUGAGACAGUUCGGUCCCUAUCUGCCGUGGGCGCUGGAGAAUUGAGGGGGGCUGCUCCUAGUACGAGAGGACCGGAGUGGACGCAUCACUGGUGUUCGGGUUGUCAUGCCAAUGGCACUGCCCGGUAGCUAAAUGCGGAAGAGAUAAGUGCUGAAAGCAUCUAAGCACGAAACUUGCCCCGAGAUGAGUUCUCCCUGACUCCUUGA